CUGAGUAGGAGAAUGCAAAAUCUGCUUUUCAUCUUCCACAUCUCAGGUCCAUGUUAGAACUUCCCUGAAACUGCUCCAAGCUUCCAAGUGUUUCACUUUGCACUGCUCGCUGGUAUUCCAUUAACUCAGUUGUGAUAAGAGAAGAGGCAAGGCCUGCUAGACUGAUAAAAAGGGAUUAUGGGAAGACAUGUAAGCUGCAUCCAGUUUUCAUGGGCAACCAUAGGAGGAAAGACAUAGU